GGACUCAUAGCAUAGUGGCUUAAUGCAGUCGGCUAUUGCCCGCACCGAUGAAAAUCGGUUUAGCAAAUAAGACAGGUGGGUUCGAAUCCCACUGGGUCCG
rnacentral:tRNA from 1 species